UAGGUGAACCUGCGGAAGGAUCAUUAAUGAAUUCUGAAAGGGGUUGUAGCUGGCCGUUUCGUUUGAGCGGCAUGUGCACGCCCUGAUCAUUAUCCAUCUCACACACACUGUGCACAUACUGUAGGUCGGCUUUUGAUUGGAGUGGGGUCUUCAUCGACUCUGCUUUUUAGUUGGGGCCUUCACUAUGUUUUAUCACACACUACUUCAGUUAAAAGAAUGUCCUCUUGCGUCUAACGCAUUUAAAUACAACUUUCAGCAACGGAUCUCUUGGCUCUCGCAUCGAUGAAGAACGCAGCGAAAUGCGAUAAGUAAUGUGAAUUGCAGAAUUCAGUGAAUCAUCUGAAUCUUUGAACGCACCUUGCGCUCCUUGGUAUUCCGAGGAGCAUGCCUGUUUGAGUGUCAUGGAAUUCUCAACUCUAUUUGCUUUUGUGAAUAGAGCUUGGACUUGGAGGUUUAUUGCCGGUACCUGUGAUCGGCUCCUCUUGAAUGCAUUAGCUCGAACCUUUUGUGGAUCAGCUUAUCGGUGUGAUAAAAUGUCUACGCCGUUACUGUGAAGCAUAUUAUUCGGCUUCCAAUCGUCCUUCACGGGACAAUAACUUUGACCUUUGACCUCAAAUCAG
rnacentral:rRNA from 1 species